rnacentral:rRNA from 1 species
AUUGAACGCUGGCGGUAGGCCUAACACAUGCAAGUCGAACGAGUGGCGGACGGGUGAGUAAUGCAUGGGAAACUGCCCGGUGGAGGGGGAUAACUACGGGAAACGGAAGCUAAUACCGCAUACGAUCGAAUGUGCCCAGGUGGGAUUAGCUAGUGGGUGGGGUAACGGCUCACCUAGGCGACGAUCCCUAGCUGGUCUGAGAGGAUGAUCAGCCACACUGGAACUGAGACACGGUCCAGACUCCUACGGGAGGCAGCAGUGGGGAAUAUUGGACAAUGGGCGCAAGCCUGAUACAGCCAUGCCGCGUGGAUGAAGAAGGCCUUCGGGUUGUAAAGUACUUUCAGCGAGGAGGCGUUACUCGCAGAAGAAGCACCGGCUAACUCCGUGCCAGCAGCCGCGGUAAUUC